rnacentral:lncRNA from 1 species
GGGUACUUAGCUCAUGUGAGAGAGCUAGACAGUCAGGUCAGGGAGCCGGCCUCGGUGCCAGUUGUCAGAGGGUUUCAGGAUGUUUUUCCGGAUGAGCUUCCAGGAUUACCACCUGCUAGGGAGAUAGAGUUCGAGAUAGAGUUGGUGCCUGGAACUAGACCGAUCUCUAUCCCUCCCUACAGGAUGGCCCCAGCCGAGUUAAAGGAGUUGAAAGAGCAGUUGCAAGAGCUGGUAGAAAAGGGUUUCAUCCGACAGAGUACCUCACCUUGGGGUGCUCCGGUCUUAUUUGUGAG